ACGAACGCUGGCGGCGCGCCUAACACAUGCAAGUCGAACGAGCGAGAGAGAGCUUGCUUUCUCAAGCGAGUGGCGAACGGGUGAGUAACGCGUGAGGAACCUGCCUCAAAGAGGGGGACAACAGUUGGAAACGACUGCUAAUACCGCAUAAGCCCACGGCUCGGCAUCGAGCAGAGGGAAAAGGAGCAAUCCGCUUUGAGAUGGCCUCGCGUCCGAUUAGCUAGUUGGUGAGGUAACGGCCCACCAAGGCGACGAUCGGUAGCCGGACUGAGAGGUUGAACGGCCACAUUGGGACUGAGACACGGCCCAGACUCCUACGGGAGGCAGCAGUGGGGAAUAUUGCACAAUGGGGGAAACCCUGAUGCAGCGACGCCGCGUGGAGGAAGAAGGUCUUCGGAUUGUAAACUCCUGUUGUUGAGGAAGAUAAUGACGGUACUCAACAAGGAAGUGACGGCUAACUACGUGCCAGCAGCCGCGGUAAAACGUAGGUCACAAGCGUUGUCCGGAAUUACUGGGUGUAAAGGGAGCGCAGGCGGGAAGACAAGUUGGAAGUGAAAUCCAUGGGCUCAACCCAUGAACUGCUUUCAAAACUGUUUUUCUUGAGUAGUGCAGAGGUAGGCGGAAUUCCCGGUGUAGCGGUGGAAUGCGUAGAUAUCGGGAGGAACACCAGUGGCGAAGGCGGCCUACUGGGCACCAACUGACGCUGAGGCUCGAAAGUGUGGGUAGCAAACAGG
rnacentral:rRNA from 1 species